rnacentral:rRNA from 1 species
AUAAAGAGUCGGACCUGCCCAGUGAUAUAAUACAUUUAACGGCCGCAGUACCCUGACUGUGCAAAGGUAGCAUAAUCAUUUGCCCUAUAAUUGAGGGCUAGUAUGAAUGGUUUGACAAGAACAUAGCUGUCUCUUAUAAGAUAACUAAAAAUUAAAUUUUAGGUGAAGAUGCCUAAAUUAGACUAAAAGACGAGAAGACCCUGUUGAGCUUUAAAAACUUGAAGGUUGACUAGAAAGUUUUUUUGGUUGGGGCGACCUAGGAACAUUUAAAGCUUCUUUUAUUACUUAAAACGUUCGGUUAUGAUCCAAUAGAAUUGAUUAACGAAAUAAGCUACCACAGGGAUAACAGCGUAAUUCUCUCUAAGAGUUCACAUUAAAGAGUGAGUUUGCGACCUCGAUGUUGGACUAAAAUAUCCUAAAGAUGCAGAUGUCUUUAAGGGUUGGUCUGUUCGACCA